GACGAACCUUGCUAACGUUAUUCGGAAUUACUGGGCUUAAAGCGUGCGCAGGCGGUUUGCUAAGACAGGUGUGAAAUCCCCGGGCUUAACCUGGGAACUGCGCUUGUAACUGGCAAGCUUGAGUGUGGCAGAGGGGGGUGGAAUUCCACGUGUAGCAGUGAAAUGCGUAGAGAUGUGGAGGAACACCGAUGGCGAAGGCAGCCCCCUGGGCUAACACUGACGCUCAUGCACGAAAGCGUGGGGAGCAAACAGG
rnacentral:rRNA from 1 species